GACGAACCGUGCGAACGUUAUUCGGAAUCACUGGGCUUAAAGGGCGCGUAGGCGGCUUGUCAAGUCAGGGGUGAAAUCCUGCAGCUCAACUGUAGAAGUGCCUUUGAUACUGGCGAGCUCGAGGGAGGUAGGGGUGGGUGGAACUUCCGGUGGAGCGGUGAAAUGCGUUGAUAUCCACAGGAACUCCGGUGGCGAAGGCGGCGUGCUGGACCCCAUCUGACGCUGAGGCGCGAAAGCCAGGGGAGCAAACGGG
rnacentral:rRNA from 1 species